AUUGAACGCUGGCGGCAGGCCUAACACAUGCAAGUCGAGCGGAUGAAGGGAGCUUGCUCCUGGAUUCAGCGGCGGACGGGUGUGUAAUGCCUAGGAAUCUGCCUGGUAGUGGGGGAUAACGUCCGGAAACGGGCGCUAAUACCGCAUACGUCCUGAGGGAGAAAGUGGGGGAUCUUCGGACCUCACGCUAUCAGAUGAGCCUAGGUCGGAUUAGCUAGUUGGUGGGGUAAAGGCCUACCAAGGCGACGAUCCGUAACUGGUCUGAGAGGAUGAUCAGUCACACUGGAACUGAGACACGGUCCAGACUCCUACGGGAGGCAGCAGUGGGGAAUAUUGGACAAUGGGCGAAAGCCUGAUCCAGCCAUGCCGCGUGGGGGAAGAAGGUCUUCGGAUUGUAAAGCACUUUAAGUUGGGAGGAAGGGCAGUAAGUUAAUACCUUGCUGUUUUGACGUUACCAACAGAAUAAGCACCGGCUAACUUCGUG
rnacentral:rRNA from 1 species